GGUAAUCCGUGGAAAUAAUGUGGUUACUGUAGAGGCACUUGAACCUGUAAACAGGAGCAUCUGAUUUCUGUUUCUUGUGAAUAUUUAUAACAAAAUUGUAAGGUUUCAAGUUUCAACACAAAUUAUUAUAUUGCUGGGAUCUCAAUAUGAUUGUGUUAGCGCCUAAUCUGAGGUUAUGUUUCUGGUUGAGUUUCAACAAAAUGAUUUUUUUGUGAUAUCAAAUUCUUCAAAACACCCUAUAAUGACAUAUUAGUUGAGAGUGAAAAAAAAGUGUGUGAGGAGGUUCUUUUAGGGGACCAGUAUUUUAGCUAAUUGCAGUUUUCCCUUUGUUGUUACUUGAGCAAUGUGCUUUUCUUCAGCCCCUUUUUCACCUCUUAUGUCACAGUAAAUGUACUUGUAAGGAUUAAAUGGUGGACCAUGAUUGAAUAAAUGAACGAAAUAAACAAAAUAUGAAUGAGGAUGUGGAAAUUCUUGGAUAUGAAUGAAAAUUUUCCAAUGUAAUCAAGAAAUAUGAAUGAAAAUUAGGAAUAUGAAAUGUAGAAUCUCGAAUGUGAAAAUGGAGAAUAUAAAUGCGAAUGAAGAAAUAUGUAUGGAAUUCUUUGAAUUAUGAAUGAAUGAGAAAAUGAAUAUGGAUGAUGACCUAAUGUAAUGUUUUGUACUUUACAUAGGAAUUCAUUAAAAGAGUGGGUGAGAACUAAAAAAUAUGCCAAUGAAAAAAUGAAUGGUCACAUGAAUGAAUAAUUGUAAUAUGAGGGAGACAAAAUAUGGAUUAAAAUUGGAUAUGAGAAUGAAAGUCAUGACAUUCGAACUGAUUUUGUCAGAAUAUAACAAACAUCUAAAGCCCAAACAGAGAGGUAAAACUCUAAUAGUCAUGGAAUAGCAAGUAGUGGGAAUGUUUAAACAACCAGUGUAAGUCGAUAGAUUUAUGACCGGAUGAAACGGUCAUGAGGAGGAAAGAAAAUUAAUGAUUGAUGAAAAAAAAUUCAGGACCAAAAUCAGGGUAUAACAGUUGCCCCUAUUUAAACAUCCUCCAUAAGAGGAAAAUGAAAUAGCACUUUCCAUCGGAUUGUAGUGGGGGAUGGUUAAAUACUAUGGAGACCCAGAUUUUGAUCCUGAAAAAUGCAAAUGUUAUGAUAUGAUAUGCAUGGAUGCAUGAUUCUUUAUAUUAUUUUUUUGAAUUUGUCUGUUAGGGACACAGUGAACUUUUAGCACGAGAUAUUAUAACAGACAAACCAAUAUGUGGGGGACUCUGAUGACCCACAGGGAAAUAGACAAACAAAUGUACAACCAACUCGCUGGGGGAUAACAAUCCUGCUGGAGAGUCAGACACACACUGGGAAGUAGUUGAAGUGAAAGUUGACAAACGACACUUAGAACACCAGAUACUUUGAUAGUAAGUUCACACAUGGCUUACUACAACUUGAAUAUUUAAAAUUUCUACAACAGGUUCAUACAUGACCUGAUAACAUUGAAACAAUCAUAGAGAAAGAUUCUUCAAAACAGGUUCAUACAUGACCUGGUAAUACUGGAAUGAAAGCUCAACAGCAGGUUCAUACAUGUUCUGACAAUGCUGGGGAAUAUCAAGAAAUUCUGACAACAGGUUCAGACAUGACCUAACAAACUCAGAAAAAUUCAAAAAGAGUAUAUCAACAGGUUCAUACACGAUCUGAUGACAAACUUGAACAUUUUGAGAAAAUUUCCAGAACAAGUUCAUACAUGACCUAACAUCAUUGGAACAAAAGGUUCAGCAACAGGUUCAAAUAUGACCUAAGAAUAUUAGAAAACCAAAGAAUUUUUAAUCAACAGGUUCAUAUGUGACCUUAACAAUUGGAUAUUCAAGGAAAGUUUCACUCACAGGUUCAGACAUGACCUGACGAUUCUGGAGAAAGUCGAAGAAUUUAAUAACAGGUUCAGACGUGACCUGACAAACUGACCCAAAGAAAACUUCAACCAUAGGUUCACACAUGACCCAAAAAUACUGAAAAACAUACAUAUCAAGUUUCCUCAAUAGGUUCAUACAUGACCUGACACUUUAUAAUACAUCUGACAAUUCUGGAGAUUUCUCACAAGAAAUUCAUCCAAUCAAAGAUUUUGGAGAUUCUUAAUAGGGAAAUUAUGCAAAACAAAGAUAAGCAGGAGUCUUCUUAUAAGUAGAUCAUCCGUGCAAAUUUCUCACAAGAAAUUCAUCCAAUCAAAGAUUUUGGAGAUUCUUAAUAGGGAAAUUAUGCAAAACAAAGAUAAGCAGGAGUCUUCUUAUAAGUAGAUCAUCCGUGCAAAAGGCUAUGAUGAUUCUUUUACAAAGAAAUCAAACAAAACCAACAUCGUUGGAGUUUUCUAACACGAAAAACCUCCAAGCUUCUGGGAAUUCCUCAAGAUGAUAAGUCAUACAUGACUUUCACGAAACCAUCAGGAAAGAUAGGGUAAUUAAACUCUCUGUACGUGCCAAACAACAAUUGGACUUUUAACCGUAAGUAAAGGAUUACAACCAACUUCUAACGGACAGGUGCCAACAACAAUUGGACUUUGACUGUAAGCAAUGGAUUACAACCAGCUUUUAACAGAUUGAUGCCAACAACAAUUGGACUUUGACUGUAAGCAAUGGAUUACAACCAGCUUCUAACAGAUUUUGCCAACAACACUUGGACUUGAAAUGAUGUUGGUGACAACCAAAAUUCAAAUACCAAUUACAAUUGUACUUACAAACAGACUGACAGUGAUGCCAACGAUGAUUUGAACUUCUGAAAUGAUACUAGUGUCAACUGGUCUUUGGGUCAAGGGAUAACAAUCAACAACGGGACCGAAGGGGUCACACACAUGGAUAUAGAGUACACUUUGAACCAUGCAUGACUUGAUUUUUGUUUUAUGCAUGAUAUAUGAAUGAUCAUGAUACGCAAUGCUGACAAUAGGAAGACUGGGAGUUUGUAUGGACUGUUUACAGGGAUUCUGAUUCCUCAACACCAAUAUCUCAAACCCGUACAAUUAACAGGUGUAUCCAGAGGAGAAUCUAUCAUGAUUGACAGUUAUGAAUAACCAAAGGUCCAUCCUUCCAUAGGAUUAACAAGUUGUGUUCCAUGGAGAUUUUUGUUGGUGAUCCAGGAAUAUUUAUGCAACCUUGAGACUUUCGGGAAAACAAAUGAUUUUCUCUUGAUUUUCACCUAUAUCAAAGUAAUUUUGUUCUUUUCACUAAAUUUCAGAUUCUUUUUCAAUGUUUCAAAAUUUCAUUAUUAACAAAUAAAUGACACUAUGCAUAAUAAAGAAAGACAUAGAAAAACACAAUUAGCAAUGAUUAACAGGCAAAACUUGUAUUUUAUUCAAGAAUGGUAGCACACAAAUGGCGUAGCUCCAUAGAAUGUAACAAUUUUUGGAAAAUGGCAAUGUGGAAAGGUUUACGUUGAAUUCAGUGACCACUAACAUCCGUAAUAGAUAUGAUUCUCCCUAAACCUUGCUUCUAACGGGAGUAACUAGAUUGAUCUUCCGCCUCAGAUUCUUCGGUGUUAAUCAGUAACAACUAAUGCAGUUUAUGCCUUGUGCCCCAAACUUUUGCCUGGAUCGCCCUUUCGGGUUUUCAAUCCACCGGGACGCUCCUUUUUGCCUAAGUCGCCUUUUCAGGUUUUCAACUUAGCGAGCUACCACUUUUUUUAUUCAUCCCUAACUUUUGCCUGGACUGCCCUUUCGGGUUUUCAGUCCACCGGGAUACCCUUUUUUUUGCCUAAAUCGCCCUUUCAGGUUUUCGAUUUAGCGGGUUUUUAUUAGGCAUAGUAUUUUUAACUGCAUCAGAGUUCACGGGGUGUGAGAGCUCUUCAUCAUCCAUAGUUAUGAGAAUCAAGGCGCCUCCGGAGAAAUCUUUCUUCACAACAUAUGGGCCUUCAUAAUUGGGAGUCCACUUCCAACGUGAGUCCUUGUGUAUUGGCAAGAUCUUCUUAAGCACGAGGUCUCCUUCUCUGAAUUCCCGAACACGUACUUUCUUGUCAAAAGUCCUUUUGAGCCGUUUCUGGUAUAACUGUCCAUGGCACAAAGAAGUCAUUCACUUCUCAUCUAUGAAGUUUAACUGAUUAAAUCUAUUUUGAAUCCACUUAGCCUCUUCUAGCUUGGAUUCCAUCAGGAUUCUCAUUGAAGGUAUCUCCACUUCAAUUGGGAGAACUACUUCCAUCCCAUAUACCAAAGAGAACGGGAUUUCCCCUGUUGAAGUGCGGACGGAAGUCCGAUAUCCAUGCAGUGCAAAGGGUAGCAUUUCGUGCCAAUCCUUAUAGGUUUUCACCAUUUUCUGCAGGAUCUUCUUGAUGUUUUUAUUAGCGGCUUCAACAGCGCCAUUCAUUUUUGGAUGAUAGGUGAAGAGUUUAUGGUGUUUCCAAUCUUGAAGCUUUCGCAUAAUUCUUCAUGGUCUUAUUGUUCAGAUUCGUCCACUUAUCUGUGAUGAUCCGGCGUUGGAAUUCCAUACGGCAAAUGAUCUCUUUCUUGAGAACCGUGCAAACCACUUGCUUUAUCACAUUAGCUAAGAGUGCGGCUUCUACCCAUUUUGCGGUAAAGUAUAUCAAUGGCAACCAGGAUUGAAGCGGUGACCAUUGGAAAGCUUUAGGCUCAAUGGCGCCAAUCAUGUCGAUGCCCACAUUGAGAAAGGCCAAGGUGAGUCAAAACAUUUAGUUGGUCGGAAGGCACGUGAUUGUACCUUGUCGGCAUGUACGAUCUUGCAUUUAUGAGCAUUUUCUAGCAUAAUUGAAGCAGUCGGAUUCCAUGGUCAACCAGUAAUAACCAGCUCUCAAAAUCUUCUUAGCCAUGGCAUGCCCAUUGGCAUGAGUUCCAAAGGAUCCUUCAUGAAUCUCCUUGAUCAGCAGGUUUGCUUCACGUCCAUCCACGCAUCUAAGCAGGAUCAUGUCGUGGUUUCUCUUGUAUAACACACCAUUGCUUAAGAAGAAUUUGGAUGCUAACUUCCUCAAUGUUUUCUUGUCAAGGGUUGUUGCAUCUGUUGGAUAUUCUUGAUCUUGUAAAAAGCAUUUGAUGUCGUGAAACCAAGGUUUACCAUUGGCUUCCUCUUCAACUGACUAGCAGUAGGCAGGCUCAACUUUCCGCUCGAUCUGAAUGAGAGGUGCUUCAUUGUGGAAUCUAACUUGGUACAUUGAAGCCAACAUAGCCAAAGCAUCAGCAAUUUGAUUCUCAGUUCUCGGGAUAUGACGGAAAGUGAUUUCGUCAAAGUAUUUUAUUAGUUCCAUGACAUAGGCACGAUAGGAAUCUAACUUGGUACAUUGAAGCCAACAUAGCCAAAGCAUCAGCAAUUUGAUUCUCAGUUCUCGGGAUAUGACGGAAAGUGAUUUCGUCAAAGUAUUUUAUUAGUUCCAUGACAUAGGCACGAUAGGGGAUCAACUUGGUAUCACGGGUUUCCCAUUCGCCUUUGACUUGGUAUAUCACCAAAGCCGAGUCUCCACAUACUUCGAGGAUUUUGAUUCGGAGGUCAAUUGUUGCUUCAAUGCCUCUGAUGCACACCUCAUAUUCUUCUAUAUUAUUUGUGCAAUCAAAACACAACCUUGUUGUGAAAGGAGUGUAUCCACCAUUUAGAUUCAAUAGAACAGCUCCUACGCCAUGCCCCAUGUAAUUGGAGGAACCAUCGAACAUGAGCUUCCACCGAGAUCCGGGUUCAGGUCCUUCAUCAAGCCCUGGGAUUUCACAAUCUUUUACUACCAUAAUGUCUUCAUCAGGAAAGUCAAAUUUCAACGGCUGGUAGUCUUCAACGGGCUGGUUUGCCAGGUAAUCAGACAACACACUUCCUUUAAUGGCUUUCUGAGAUACAUAUUGGAUGUCAUACUCAGAUAGUAACAUCUGCCAACAUCUUCAACGGGCUGGUUUGCCAGGUAAUCAGACAACACACUUCCUUUAAUGGCUUUCUGAGAUACAUAUUGGAUGUCAUACUCAGAUAGUAACAUCUGCCAACGGGCGAGUCUUCCAGUUAAAGCAGACUUCUCAAAGAUGUACUUUAUUGGAUCCAUUUUUUAGAUCAACAAAGUAGUGUGGCAAAUCAUGUAUUGUCUUAGACAACGAGCGGCCCAUGCUAAAGCACAACAAGUUUUCUCCCAGAGUGAAUAUCGGGUUUCACAAUCGGUAAAUCUCUUACUUAGAUAGUAGAUGGCAUGCUCCUUUCGGCCGGUUUCAUCAUGUUGUCCCAGCACACAUCCCAUUGACUUUUCAAGCACAGUUAAGUACAUAAAGAGUGGUUUCCCCUGAACAUGUGGAAUUAGAAUAGGGGGCUCUUGCAGGUAUUGUCCGAUUUUCUCAAAAGCCAUCUGACAGUCAGAAUUCCAUUCAACUGCUUGAUCUUUUCUCAGUAACUUGAAUAUAGGUUCACACGUAGCAGUCAUAUGAAAUAUAAAUCUAGAGAUGUAGUUCAAACGUCCCAGGAAUCCUCUGACUUCUUUCUCUGUACGUGGAGAAGGCAUUUCUUGUAUUGCCCUAACCUUGUCUGGAUCUACCUCAAUUCCUCGUUGACUAACAAUGAAACCAAGCAACUUUCCAGAUCGGACACCGAAGGUGCAUUUAGCAGGAUUCAGCCGUAGUCGAAAUUUCCGAAGACGCUCAAAUAGCUUUUGCAAGUGAUCUAUAUGAUCCUCUUCACUUUGGGAUUUUGCAAUCAUAUCAUCUACAUAAACCUCAAUUUCCUUAUGCAUCAUAUCAUGGAAAAGAGUGACCGUUGUUCUUUGGUAAGUUGCCCCAGCAUUUUUGAGACCAAAUGGCAUUACCUUGUAGCAGAAUGUUCCCCAACGGGUGAUGAAUGCCAUAUUUUCCAUGUCUUCUGGAUCCAUCUUAACUUGAUUGUAACCCGAGAAUCCGUCCAUAAAGGAGAAGACCGCGAACUUAGCAGUGUUGUCUACCAGAGUGUCAAUAUGUGGCAGGGGGAAAUCGUCCUUUGGACUAGCUUUGUUUAGAUCCCUAUAAUCAACACACAUCCUGACCUUGCCAUUCUUUUUGGGUACUGGUACAAUAUUAGCUACCCAUUAAGGGUACUUUGCAACUGUUAGAAAACCGACAUCAAAUUGAUGUUUCACCUCGUCACAAAUCUUUAGAGCCAUGUCGGGUCUUGCUCUUCGGAGUUUCUGCUUCACUGGCGGGUGAUUUGGCUGUAGUGGUAGCUUGUGGACAACAAUAUCAGAAUCUAAACCUGGCAUAUCCUGGUACGACCAAGCGAAUACAUCUACAUACUCUUGUAGCAACUUGAUCAAUCUUUCUUUGAUGCUUGCCCCAAGUGUAGUCCCAACUUUGACCUCUUUCUUGUCUUCCUCAGUGCCAAGGUUGAUUGUUUCCACUGGUUCUUGAUGCGGCUGAAGGGCCUUUGACUCGUGCUCGAGGCAUCCUUUCCAUUCUUCAGGGAAUCACAAUCAUCCUGCAUUCCUCUUCUGCUUGGGUAAGUGGGGAGACUUUCAAAGUUAUAGGGAAGUGUGGGGUCAUCGGAAUUCAACUAGUUUAGUUGAUUAUUCUGCUGUUUUUAAUGAUUGUUUUUUUAGAAAAAAUGGGAAAUAAAAUGCAAAAGAAUUCAAAAUAUGUUUUGUAGUUUUUGAAAGGAUUGCCAUUUUAAGGAAAGAAAAACAAAUGAAUGAACGAUAAGAAUUUGAACAAAAUGCUCUUUAUUUGUCAUAAUGAUUUUUGAAAUUUAAAGGGGGCAUACAAAUGAUCCAUUAGCCUUGGGCAGAGCUAAGGAUUUUCAAAAAAACAAAGGAAAACACGAUUACUUUGACACAGGAAAAACUUAUGAAAUCUCAACUGCUUCCCAAUUUGUUAAAGCUGCUUCACACCGGUAUAUCAGAUUUGAUGCUUCUCCAUCUUCAGUGUCAUCUUCAACUGCACCAACCUGAUCUCCAUGGAUAAAUCAUGUGCUUAGGAAAACUUCUUGUAUGCUCCGCGCGCGGUCCUUUGCAGGGACCAGGGCUCCUCCCUUAGCAGAAGGCUUGUACCCCAAACCAAAACGAUCAUUUUUCUCGCUGACAUUGAUGACCUUCUCCCAACCUGCAGGGCCUCCACUUUCAACUGCUGAUCUUGCACUAUUCAAAGAGGCGAACGACAAACUGGUUUUCUCAAUGGGAUCCUCCACCUCAGCAAGUGUGGCGUUGGAUAUUUCGAGCGCUUGGAAAGAGGUUUCUAAGGCAUCCUCAUCAGCCUUAAUAUAACGGAAAGAGGAGAGUUGACUGAUGAUAAAAUCUUCUUCACCCGAGACAAUGACGAGUUUGUCAUCGACAACAAACUUCAUUUUCUGAUGCAAAGUAGAAGUCACUGCCCCAGCAGCAUGUAUCCAUGGACGUCCCAAAAGGCAACUGUAAGCGGGAUUUAUGUCCAUGACUUGGAAAUUGUUGGGGAAUACAUGCGGUCCGAUCUGUAUUGGUAGCUCUACCUCCCCACCUACCGUCCUCCGAGAACCAUCAAACGCCUUUACCACAAGUGCACUAGGUUUCAAUUCCGAACCUUGGUAAGAUAAUUUAGCAAGUGCCCUCUUCGGUAGAACAUUGAGGGACGAUCCAGUGUCAACUAAAACUCUGGCCAGAGCAUCUUCUUGGCACUUUAUGGAUACAUGUAAGGCGCGGUUGUGAUUCUUCCCUUCUUUGGGUAGCUCUUCAUUUCUGAAACUUAGAGUGUUGCAGGCUGUGAUAUUGGCGACCACCCCAUCGAGUUGGCCAACCGUUAUAUCUUGGGUAACAUGAGCCUGAGCAAGCACUUUCAGUAGAGCCUCCCUAUGAGCUUCGAAAUUCAUAAGCAAAGACAAGAUAGAUAUUUUUGACGAUGUCUGAUGUAACUAAUCAACUAUCUUGUAGUCGGAUUUCUUUAUUAUUCUUAGAAAUUCACUCGCUUCAUCUGCUUGCACUGCCGACUGUGCCCCUCCACUGCGGGUCAUCCUGCUCGUCCCUGCAAUGUUAGUGACAUCGGUGUCAACAUUCUCCAAGCCUUUCUCACUUUCAGCAGCUUUGGGUUUUCCAUCUACCACAGUUAUGUCAUACUUCCAAGGUACCACUUUGGUGCUUUCAAAGGGAAAGGGGGUAGGCAUACAAACUAUCACGGGUGAUGGAUGAACAACAUCUUUUCUAUGAUAAGUUAUCUCAAACGGUUCUGGUAGAUUGAAAACGAGUUCAAUGACUGAAACUUCCUCGUUUGUUGUAGGACCACAAAUUUGUAAAACACCUUGAUCCAUCAAGUUCUAAAUGUCAUUUCGUACCACUUUACAUCCCCUUGGAUGAAUGACACAUUCUUCACAAUUGUCGUGGUGUGUAUUAAUCAAACUAGAUCCCACCAAUCUGGCAUGAAGUGCUAUCAAUGGAGUUUUAACAUCUUCAACAUCUUUGAUUAUACAAACACCAGAAGCAUCCUCGAUGGCAUUGACAUCACCAUGCGCCGGCAGAGGGUUACUUUUUACGUUGGGUCCGAUAUCUCGAAAUGAAAGAAUCUUCUUCUCAACCAGCUCACGCACAAUAUGCUUCAAAGCAUAACAUCCCUCUAAAUCAUGCCCAGGGGCACCCUCAUGGAAAGGACAAGGGGCAUCUGGAUUGUACCAUGGAGGUAAGGGAUUUGGUGGAGGACCCAAAGGUCUGGGAGUCACCAACCCUUUUCGUAGUAACGAUGGGUACAAUUCAGUGUAUGUCAUAGGGAUUGAAGCAAACGGAAGUCUACCUCUUUGUACCCUAUUUUGAUUUGGAGGAUUUUGUGACAUAGGGAUUGAAGCAAACGGAAGUCUACCUCUUUGUACCCUAUUUUGAUUUGGAGGAUUUUGUGGACGAGGAGCCUGUGCCCUUGGCUGUUGAUAAGCAGGUGGCGCGGGCGCUUGCUGGUAUACUCGUGCUUGUUGAACAGGUUGAUAGACAGGAACUUGUGACUGGUUGAAAUUUGGUGUGACUGCUGCCACAUAUGGUUGUUGAACAUACUGCACUGGAUAAGUUGGUUGCUGAGCAAAUUGAUGUUGCUUCUUCAACGAAUGACUCCUCCUUUGACUGGUUGACACUGCAUUUGUUUCACCCUCUUUCAUUCUUUGAAAACUUCUGGGAAACUUUUUGGCAUUAUUACCAGAUGUUUUAGAGGUGGUUAUCAUUUUUCCAUUCUUCAAUCCAAGCUCGACCUUUAUGCCCACGACGACCAAGUCAGAGAAGCUUCCAGAUACAUUACUCACCAUUCUUUCAUAGAACAUAGGUUUUACCGUAUCCAUGAACCAAUCUGCUAACUCUUUCUCAGCAAGGGGUGGUUCGACUUGCGAGGCCACUUCCCUCCAUCGUUGUGCAUAUUCCUUAAAAGACUCGUUAUCUUUCUGGGACAUGCUGAGCAAUUGCCUCCUAUCUAGGUCCAUAUCCAUGUUAUACUUAUAAUGUUGGAUGAAAGCAUCAUAUAAGUCUUGGAAACAACGAAUUCUACUUUGAUCAAGGCUUAAGUACCACUUAGAGGGAGCACCCCUUAAGCUGUCUUGGAAGCAAUGUAUCAUAAGUUUAUCGUCCUCUACGUGCGCAGCCAUUUUUCGAUAGUACAUAAUAAGGUGACUUUUAGGACACGAAUGACCCUCACACCUAUCGAAAUCUGGGGUCUUGAAUUUAACAGGAAUCACAAGACCUGACACUAAGCACAUCUUCUUAGUAGUAGCACCAAAAACUUGGUCACCUUCCAUAGCCCUUAACCUUUUCUCCAGAAUCUGGAAAUUCUCUUUCAUCCCCCUUAUGUCUUCUUGCCUUUCAUCAUCUUCGUCCGAAAAGUCCGGAGCAUGUUGUUGAUCCUCAAAGUAAGGUUGCACAUGCAUACGAACGAGAGGUGGUGCGAACGUGUGGACCACGGGAUGAGUUUCAUUGAUGGUUGGUAGAGGAGCCGUUUGCUGAGUGGAUUUUGCAAAACCAGGGGCGCCUUCAACUGGAGGUGUGAAAGCGGGAGGUAAACCAUAGGCUGGCCAGGUGGUUGGUACUGUCCUUGCAGGUUGGGGUUCAAUCGUGGGACCGGCGAUUUCUGAAACGACCGUCGUUUGGGUGUCCAACUUGGCCCUAAUGACCUGUAGUAUCUCCAUGACUUGACCCAUGUUUCCUCGUAGGUCUUCGAAGUUGGGGUUCAAUCGUGGGACCGGCGAUUUCUGAAACGACCGUCGUUUGGGUGUCCAACUUGGCCCUAAUGACCUGUAGUAUCUCCAUGACUUGACCCAUGUUUCCUCGUAGGUCUUCGAGUUCUGAACUCACUCGCUCCAAUUCUUGUUCUUGGUCUGCCAUUCUUCGACGAGCGCUGGCUCUGGUGUUGUAGUGGUGUUGAGGACUCAGUGUGUAACAACUGAUAGAGAAAACGGAAUGAGUUUUUAUUUACUUAUAUGAAGAAUGCAUGUAUGUAUGAAUGCAUUUUAUGUUUAUUUAUUUUUAGGGAUUCUUAUAAACUUUGCAGUUGUUGAGCACGCACUUUGAAAGUAAUGUGAACAGAAACAGAAAACAAUAGUCAGAAGCUGAUUUAAAAAUUCAAUACCCAUUCAUUCAAUGAAGCCAAAGAGUACGAAGUACACAGUCAAAGUGGGUACAAAACAUUAAGCCAAAUACAAAAAUUGGAAAUAACACGAAGCAAACAACUUAAAGAGUCCUCUUAGCAACUCGCUCUUUGCGUGCCUUCAAUUCUUCUUUGAAUCUUCACAUCAUCCUUUCACAAAGCAAAACAAGGCCACGAGCCGAUGGAUGAGUGUUAUUUUCAUCCAUGUCCUCUAGAGCAUUUUCUAAUUUCCAUGGUAAGUCUAUGGCCACACCAUUACAAAACUCUAUGAGGUUAGCCAACUUCGUGCGGUAUGCAUCAAGGCUUGGAAUGGAUGAGUGUUAUUUUCAUCCAUGUCCUCUAGAGCAUUUUCUAAUUUCCAUGGUAAGUCUAUGGCCACACCAUUACAAAACUCUAUGAGGUUAGCCAACUUCGUGCGGUAUGCAUCAAGGCUUGGCUGCAGAAGGUUGAUGGUGCAUUCAUACUCAUCCAAUAUCUCAUUUAAAUGCUUCCUAUGAUUUAGCCAACCCAUGCUUUGGCUCUUCAUAGACUCAUAUUGUUCCUUCUAAUAACUAGCUAGCUCCUUGUUGGUAUUCAACUCAUCACACUUCUCUUCCCAGGCUUUAGGACAUAUUUGAGGGGUUCUUUGGGCUUGUUCCUUAAGACGUCUUUCACGCACCACUUCAGCUUCAGAGCUUCGAAGUUGCUCCUUCAGUUCUUGUAUUUGGGCUUCAAGCUCCUCCCUUACCUCCUUCUUUUGCUUAGUGGCUAGGUCCCACCAACGCUUCCACUCUUGUCCAUCUCUUUUAGCCUUAGCUAAUUCAUCACGGAGUGAACCUAAUCCACUAUCAGCCUGAUCUAGGCACUCCAAGACUCUUUCCUUGAGAUCUUGCUCAAUUUUGUUCUGCUUACGACUCUCAUCCAAAAGUUCCUUCCUUUGGUUACUCUUCCUUUUGAGAAUCAUAUUUUUCCCAGUUUCUUUGUAGAGUUCAGAUUGCAUAUCCUCUUUCUCCUUUCCAAGUUUAGCUACCAUGGCUCAAAGUUCUUCCACCUCUUCAAGAGAAACAGGGACUGGUUCUGGUGAAGUACACCUUAGAGGAAUCUCUAUAGAAAAAGGGAGCUUCACAACUUUAAUCCUCUCCGAGAUCCAUUGUUGAUAAGGAACCCUGGCUGCAUCAUUCUUCUUUACUAAUUCUAUUCCUUUGGUAUGCACCUUUUCCCAAGAUCGAAUGAUCUUACGGAGGAGAAAAGGAUCAUUGGUUCCCAUAUCAUUCAAAACCAUCUCUUCUAACUCUUUAUCAUCGGGCUUCCCACGCAUAGGUAUCCAAACUGUCGCAAAGCUACAUGGGGUUGUAGCUGAUGCAACCUUUAGAUCCUAUUAGUGGCACAUUUGGAAACUACCACAACUGAUAAUGAUUUUCUUCAACAUUUAGCUUGUGUCGGUACCAAAUGAUAUCCUUACUAGACAAAGACACCAGAGUUCUUGCCCACUCCCCAUUGGACAUUUCACUUAUGUGAGCAUCAGGCUUGAACACAUAUGAAUAAGCCAAUUAUAGAGGGAGGAACCAAACUUGUUUAUCCUUCCAAACGGCCCAAAAGAUACUUAUGGCAGCUGAAUCUAUAAAACCUUCACGGGUGGAGACAUAUCUAGCCCAUAUUGAGAAGAGCUAGUAUAUUUCAAUGCAUCCUAAGAUGUAUCACAAACAACCUUUCUGCUUCUUGGUAAGCCCUCCAAAAACCAAAGAGAUUCUCCCUUUUCUUCCAAUUAGCCAAUGCAUCAGAUAUGGGGAUGUGGAGGGCAAGGGCUAGCAUCUCUACCUCAGGUACCUGACCAAUCCUAUUGUACGGUGUCCUUCCUUUUAUAGAAAAUCCCAAGAUCCGGUCGAAUUCCUCCAAGGUUGGAGUCAACUAAAAGUCUUUGAAUAAGAAACUUCGAAGCGGAGGAUCAUAGAACUGAGCUAAAGCGGUGAUGGCUGGUGUUUGAACAUCCACUGAGAGAAGAUCCAAAAUGUGGCCAAACUUUCCUUGCAAAGUAACCCUGAAGCAUGCAGGAAGUUCAUUCAAAAGUCUUGAUAUGUUGGCAAUAUCUGGCAUUUUGGCUUUGAAUGGUAAUGUUUUCCUUCUUUCUAAACCCAUUACAAACAUUUUGUGCUAACAACUGCGUGUUCAAAAAUUCCCUGAAAACAAAAUUUUAUAUGAGUGUCAUGAUGUUAUGCAAAUGAUCAUGAAUGCAUGGUUUUUUUGGUUUUGGGAUAUCAUAAGGUAACUCAAAACACUCUAUUUGGUAGGCUUCUUAAUUGAUAGUUCUAAGUUGGUUACCCAUAAACCCACUCACGGGAUAGUUUCAACAUUUUUGAUAAGGUUCCCAGAGUCAUGGACCAUAAUCGUAUCAACAUCAUGCAACAGGCUAGCCGCUUUAUGACAAGAGUGACAAAAGGUCUCUUCUGAGCGGGGUUUUCAUGUUGGGUGCAACAAGGAGAGGCCCUUGGAGUCCAACAUUACGCAACCACCAAAGCAGAAACUGGUUCUAAGAGGGGGUCCUAGAGUCAUGGACCCUUCAUGAAUCAACGUCAUGCAACAGGCUAGCUGUCUUAUAACGAGAUCUACAAACAGGUCUACUCUAGGGGAGUCUUCAUGCUAGGCACGCAAGGAGUGGCCCUUGGGGACUAACACUACACAACUUCCAAUUCUAAACUUAUGUGUUCUCUCUUAUUUUUCCAAAGCUCGGGUGUAGAGGUUUAUUCAUGAUAUUAAAAUCCCAACACCCCCACAUAGAUAUAUAUACAUAUAUGAUAAAACAGAGAUAAAGAAAGCAUAUAACAAAGGAAGAAAAAUAAACAAACAAAACUAACACACAUACGAAAACCUAACUGAACUAGGGUUAACUCACUUAGGGAUCGGUAUUCCCCAGCAGAGUCGCCAUCUGUCGCACCUCGAAAAAUGGGGAUACGAUUUUAAGCGAAGCGCAAUCGCAUGCUCGCAUGAUGGACUGAACAGAGUCGCCACCGAACAUUAUUUAUUCCUAAAAAGGAAAGGGGAAAUAUCGAUAAAACCCAAGAAAGAACGACAAUGAUUAUGGUCGUCGCAAUCAAUAUCGGGGUCCAGGAGUCGGUUACGUAAGGGGAAGGUAUUAGCACCCCUCGCGUCCGUUGUAUUCAACGGGAACCGUUUAGUUAGUUUCGUUUUGAAUGUUAGCUUAUGCUAGUCUUUUCAAGUUAUUAUGAGGGAGAGAAUAAAAAGAAUCAAAAGAAAAGAGAAUAUGUUUUUGGAUCUUUGCAAUAAAGGGGACUAAACCUAAGUUUUUUAUUAAUGGGCCAGACAAGAUUUACAAAUCCUGCUCCUACGUAUCUCAAAAGAGAAGUCAAGGCUUACGUAGUUCUAGGUAGAAAAAUGUGUGUUUGUUGAUCGAUUUUAGCGAAAGCUAUAUUGUGUUAAUCGAUAAAAAACAUUAUUUUACCCAAAACAGAUUAGGAGCGGACGUAUACCACACAUCGAAUGGAUUUACAAAUCUACAUUCGGAAAAGCGUCAUUUAUCUCGACUCAACAAUCAUGGCCGAAACAUUGUUUUGCAUCACCUUAAGACGAUAUAUCUUUCGUUUAUGAAAAAGGUUUUUGAUUAGUCGUAAGGCGGCGAGAAAAGAGUUUGAUUGGUUGGAUUUAUUUUGAGUAUUGGCGAGAACUUGGAUGAGCGAGAUAUCCAUCUCGAAUCCUAGUCUCAGGAGUGCACGGUAUACACCAUGUUCCAUUUCCAUCUUACUUGACAAAAGUAUUUAUUAAAGAUUAAGUAUUUUUAGGUUUGAUUGAGAAAGGGGUUUGAAGAAACCGCAUUGACAACUUUAGACGAUGGCGAGAGCUAAUAUAGGUAAGGCAUCCACCUUGAAUCUUAAUCUCAUGAGUGCACGGUAUACACCAUGUUCCAUUUCCAUCCUUAUUGAAAAAGUGUUGAGGUAGGAAUUGAGUAUUUUUUUUUAGUUUGAAAGACGAAUAUUUAUAAGAACGAGACAUAAGCCCCGAGAUCGAUAAUUCAGGGUUCCACCGGAAUGCAAGAUUCCAAUGGUCCUUUUCUUUCGUGUUUUUUAAAAAAGGAAUUUAAUCGGGUUAUAAAGAUAGUUUAAAAAUAAAAUAAAAUUAUAGGGAUAAAAUUAAUUUUAUAAUUUUAUAUGUAUAUCGAAUUAAUUUUAUAUACAUAUAAUCGAGUUCCCACCAGAAUGCUAGAUUCUAAUGGGAGGAAAUUAAAUUAAAUGUCGAAACUAUGGAAAGUUAGUGAAUUUUACAUCGAAAAUUUAGCGAAUUUGAAUGUGAUUAUUUACAUGUGUAAAGGUAUGAACAUAGAUAUCAAUAACCUAAUUAAAUUAAUUAACACAUGGAAAUCAAUUAACCGUACCAAAUCCCAUAUAAAAAAAAAAGUCAAUAAUUAAGAAAAUCUAAAAAAUCUAAACAUUUAAAAUCUAAACAACUAAUUAACGAUUAAAUUAAAUUAAUAAAAAUAUAAAAGUAAAAUAAAUAGUAAAAAAUUAUAAAAAAUUUAAAUGAAAUAGUAAGCAUAAAAAAUAAAAAUAUGGAGGUAUGCUACUCCCAAGUAUCAAACCCAUCCCACUAAAGAAAGUGAAACUGCUCUCUCUCCACUAGGCCACUUAUAGUCAUUUGUAACCCUAAUAACAACUUGAAUAUAUAUACCAUAAUAGAUUAAAAAAAAAAACUAGAAUGAGAUGGUCUGUUGGACUAAUCGAAGCUCACAAAAAUGGUGAGAGGGAUCCCAAAAAUCAACCCUAGCCGCCUGGCUGUUGGGUGGGGAAUAACAACAGAUUAAUACCAGCAUACAAAAAUUAAUAAAGAAAAUGCCAAGAAAAACCAAAGCGUAGGUGGUUUUUAAUUAGGUUUUAAAUGCCAUUUUUUGAAAAUAAAUAAAAGAAACAGAAACGGAGACAUGUGAACCAAACCCCACCAAAUCGUUCGCUUCUCUCAGACAAACAACCUUUCCUCUCCCAAUCUCUCGCACCGUUCAAUCUCUCAAUCUCAUUCUAUUCCUCAACCAGAGCGUGAGAGCUGGAGUAAGUUAGAGAGUUAGAGCUGGAGUAAGUUUCUUUCAAUCUCGACCUCAUUCAAUCUUUCAAUACCCUACUCUCACUCUAAAUUCACAAUCGUGACUCUCAAAGAAUUAGCAAAGGAUGCUUACCUUUGUUGCUGGCCUCCAAGAACUCCCACGGUAGCUUUUCGGUGGAGAAUAUUAGGUUUUUUCGCUACAGCUCCCUCUUCUCUUCUAGGGUUUUUUCGUCGUCUGAAAGAUUAGGGUUUUUCGUCCUCCUCUAUCUCGCCUCUGCUUCGCUCCUUUUAUACUCACCACCUUAGGGUUUUGAGCUGGUUAUGGAGAUCCAAAAGGGUAUCUCUGCGAAAUCCUUUAGGAUGCUCAGUUUGUUUGCCCUAUUUGAUGUUUGAUCUAGAACGGUAAUGCAAACCUACACUUUCUUCUUCUAACUUCGUCUUAAUUCUCUUUUGGGGUAUUUGUUGAAUUUUUUUACCGCCUUGCUAAUUUACUUGUUUUUACUACAGUGAAAAUCGGAACAUUCAUGAGUGGUUUGAUGUCUUUUUAUGAUAUCUUGCACAACAGAGCAAAGGCUUCAAGAAGAACAGCAUGGGAAGCAUUGUUCUUUGCAUCGUUUGUGAACAGAUUCUCCUCCGGUGGGCGGUUCAAUUUCAAGUUCAAGUUGGUAUCAUGUUGUCGCGUCGCGGUUAAGCUAUUGUAGAAUGGUUCGCUGAAGAACUUUGGGUCACAAUACCGGUAUGCGGCUGCCAGAGUUUUGCAGGAUUAUGGAUAUCAUCUGGUGCGUGGCAUGGAUGUUUAGCAUAUCGUGGGUUUGAUAUCGGUCUUGAAUCAUGUGGAUUGUGGUAAGAUCUGCUAAUCGACUUGAAUUGCAAAGCUUAACUAUUGUUGCUGUCAUGAACUUCUAAGUGUGAAGAAGUGCUAGCUAUCACACUCGAUUUCCUCUUAGAUUUAAGUGUUAAAUGUUGCUUAUGGUCAAUGCGUUUACAAAAGGUUCAGUAAACCAAGUACAAUACGUAUAACUUUAUUUGUAGGUUUGUGCACUUGUUUAGAAACUUGACAUUAUGAUGGAAGGGUGAUGAAAAGGCUUUGUUGCUGGUUGGCUUAAUGAUGCAACUAAUGUGAUACAAACAUGCUUCGGGUUGGUUUUCCUCAUGGUUGCACCGGUUCAUGGCCAGGUUAUCUUGCACCUCGGUUAUGUGGCGCAUUAUUCAGGUACACUACCUUGUUUUUUUUCUUUUGAUAUGCACCAGGUAUGAUAUUGAUGAUGAUGACGCAUUGGUUUAAAUGCAAUGAUCUGUUGCUGAUGAAUUUGUUAUGUUGCUGUUAUGGCAGUGCAGGUUUCUUGUGUAUCAACUAAAAGUGUCGGUGUUUGAAUGUCUCAUAUGCUGUCUUUGCUGCUUGCUGCUGAUAUGGUAUUUGUUUCAAAUUCUUCUUCUGUCAGAUUUGAUCCAUGAUUCCCGAGCUCUCUUAAAAGUCAAAUUUAAAAUGCUGAGAAUUCCAACAAACUGUCUUUUGCAGAAAUCCCAAAGAGGAGCCAUGGGAAAUCUGGCUGAUUCCACAGUUGAAGAAUAUAAAAUCAUCAUCAUCUUCUUUUUCUUCCUUCUGCGUUCUCUGAUCUCCAUUCUUCAUCAUGAGCAGGUCAGGCCAGCCGCCGGAAUUGAAGAAAUACAUGGACAAAUAGCUUCAAAUCAAGCUGAAUGCAAAUCGUAUGAUUGUUGGUACUCUUCGUGGGUUUGACCAGUUUAUGAAUUUGGUUGUUGGCAAUCCUGUUGAGGUCAAUGGCAAUGAGAAGAAUGAUAUAGGGAUGGUGGUAAUCCUUGGAAAUAGUGUGGUUCCUGUAGAGGCACUUGAACCUAUAAACAGGAGCAUCUGAUUUCUGUUUCUUGUGAACAUUUAUAACUAAAUUGUAAGGUUUCAAGUUUCAACACAAACUGUUAUAUUGCUGGGAUCUCAAUAUGAUUGUGUUAGCGCCUAAUCUGAGGUUAUGUUUCUGGUUGAGUUUCAACAGAAUGAUUUUUUUGUGAUAUUAAAUUCUUCCAAACACCCUGUAAUGACAUAUUAGUUGAGAGUGAAAAAAAGU
rnacentral:lncRNA from 1 species